rnacentral:misc_RNA from 1 species
UCUCCGUUGGUGAACCAGCGAAGGGAUCAUUACAGAGUUGCAAAACUCCCAAACCAUUGUGAACGUUACCUAUCCCGUUGCUUCGGCGGGCGGCCCGGGCCCCGCGCCCGGCGCCCCCCGGCCCCCCGUGGGCGCCCGCCGGAGGUAAACCAAACCCUUGAAUUGCAUGGCCUCUCUGAGUCUUCUGUACUGAAUAAGUCAAAACUUUCAACAACGGAUCUCUUGGUUCUG